UAAGGAAUAUUGGACAAUGGCCGCAAGGCUGAUCCAGCCAUGCCGCGUGCAGGAUGAAGGUGCUCUGCAUUGUAAACUGCUUUUGUUCGGGAAUAAACCUCUUCACGUGUGAAGAGUUGAAUGUACCGAAAGAAUAAGGGACGGCUAACUUCGUGCCAGCAGCCGCGGUAAUACGAAGGUCCCAAGCGUUAUCCGGAUUUAUUGGGUUUAAAGGGUGCGUAGGCGGAUUAUUAAGUCAGUGGUGAAAGCUUCCAGCUUAACUGGAAAACUGCCAUUGAUACUGAUGAUCUUGAGUAUGAUUGAAGUGGGCGGAAUGUGUCAUGUAGCGGUGAAAUGCUUAGAUAUGACACAGAACACCGAUUGCGAAGGCAGCUCACUAAGCCAUAACUGACGCUGAGGCACGAAAGCGUGGGGAGCAAACAG
rnacentral:rRNA from 1 species